GAAGGGGUCUUAGGCAUCUGUCACUAGGUGGAGGCUCCGGAGGACCCAGCUUGCUCCCGGUGCCACGCUGGAGGGGUGAUUACCCGGGGGGAAACCGGCCGGUAAAAUGGGAAUACCUCCGGGAAACCGGGGUUAAUACCGGAUAAUUCUUUCCCUCACUUGAGGAAAAGCUGAAGGAGGGUUUCGGCUAUCAUUUACAGAGGGGCCCGCGGCGCAUUACCUAGUUGGGGAGGUAACGGCUCACCAAGGCAACAAUGCGUACCCAACCUGAGAGGGGGAUCGGCCACCCUGGGACUGAAACACGGCCCAAACUCCUACGGGAGGCAGCAGUAGGAAAUCUUCCGCAAGGAACAAAAGUCUGACGGACCACCGCCGCGGGAGUGAUGAAGGUUUUCGGAUCGAAAAACUCUGUUGUUAGGAAAAAACAAGUACCGAAUUAACUGCCGGUCCCUUGACGGUCCCUAACCAAAAAGCCACGGUUAACUACGUGCCACCACCCGCGGUAAUACUAAGGUGGCAGGCGUGUUCCGAAAUUAUUGGGCGUAAAGCGCGCGCAGGCGGUUCUUUAAGUCUGAUGUGAAAGCCCCGGGCUCACCCGGGAAGGGUCUUGGAAAACUGGGAAACUUGAGUGCAAAAAAAAAGAGUGAAAUUCCACGUGUAGCGGUAAAUUGCUUAAAGAUGUGAAGAACCACCGUUGGCAAAGGCGACUCUUUGGUCUGUAACUGACGCUGAGGCGCGAAAGCGUGGGGAGCAAACAGGAUUAGAUACCCGGGUAGUCCACGCCGUAAACAAUGAGUGCUAGUUGUUAGAGGGUUUCCCCCCUUUUAGUGCUGCAGCAAACGCAUUUAAGCACUCCGCCCUGGGGGAAGUACGGCCGCAGGGCUGAAACUUCAAAGGAAAUUGACGGGGGGCCCCGCACAAGCGGUGGGAGCAUGUGGUUUAUUUCGAAGCAACCGCGAAGAACCUUUACCAGGUCUUGACCAUCUCCUGACAACCCUUAGAAGAUAGGGCGUUCCCCUUCGGGGGACAGGAUGACAGGUGGGUGCAUGUUGUCGUCAGCCUUCUGUCCUUGAAAUUGUUGCUUAAGUCCCGCCACCGAGCGCACCUUGUAUCUUAGUUGCCAAGCAUCUCAGUGGCACUCUAAGUGACCUGCCCCGGUUACAUACCGAGUAGGCGUGGAUUGAACUCAAUACGUCAUAUUAG
rnacentral:rRNA from 1 species